ensembl:snoRNA
UAGUUCUGCCUUUGAGCCCCUGCCGCACCUGCACGUAGCCGUGGCGUCUAGCUGCAGAGCCACAGUAUGUGCUCACGCAUAACUGGGGCCACUCGGCCUGCCCUGGGCGACCCCUUUAACUGCAAGCCACAUCG